AUGAAGAACGUAGCGAAAUGCGAUAAGUAAUGUGAAUUGCAGAAUUCAGUGAAUCAUCGAAUCUUUGAACGCAGAUUGCGCGCGCCAGUAUUCUGGCGGGCAUGCCUGUUCGAGCGUCAUUUCAACCAUCAAGCCCCCGGCUUGUGUUGGGGACCUGCGGCUGCCGCAGGCCCUGAAAAGCAGUGGCGGGCUCGCUGUCACACCGAGCGUAGUAGCAUACAUCUCGCUCUGGGCGUGCUGCGGGUUCCGGCCGUUAAACCACCUUCAUAACCCAAGGUUGACCUCGGAUCAGGUAGGAAGACCCGCUGAACUUAAGCAUAUCAAUAAGCGGAGGA
rnacentral:misc_RNA from 1 species